GAGAUGUUAGUAAAACAGAUACUACACUGCCUUGUCAAGGCAAAAAUGCAGGUUAAACCCCUGCACAUCUUA
rnacentral:tRNA from 2 species